CUUUGAAUCAUGUAGACCACAUUGCUGGAUGUGCAGGAGUACGAUUCUUUAAUGCUGUAGGUUGUCUAUGCAUGUGUGCUGACACAGUUUGCAGCAAGGUUUUUUGCAUUGACUGGUCCCGUUUUCUUUAUUCUUACCAUCAGUGGGCAGCUUCCUGUUAAUUUUUGUUAAGAGUUUGGUCGUGGUCUAAAGGCCAAAAUUGGUGUUUCAGAGAAAAUGGUUUACAUAGUCUCCUCUUCUGUUAACACUGGUUGUAGGUCUUUAUUGAGUUUCCGUAUUUCCUUAUAGGUGACCAUAAGUGGUAUUUUCUUUCUCUCUGUACUGUAGCUGGUGCGUGUGUGCAUGGAGUUAUUACAGCAGAG